GUUUUUAUGGUAUGGCAGGGCUCUGUGUUCUGCUGUUGCCAUGGUGUACUUGGUCUGCAACCAUGUUUAGGUUUGUGGUAUUUAUCAAAAUAACAUCCACAUGAAUUCCAGAACCCAAGGUUUCCAACAGAGCAUUGCAUUUUAACAAGAUGAUCAGUGUAAUUCUCUUCCCUUGUCAGUGGUUAGAAUGCUGUGGCUGAUCAGUGUGCAGGCUGUUUACUGUUGGCCAUUUUCCAGAGCAUACCUUGUGUAAUAGUGAUCAGUGAAUCCUUCACUGUAAAGAUCUAAAAUACUGCUCAUUGUGUCAAUAUUUGCCCUUUGGGUUUAAGUAAUGUGAGCCACUAGUUAAAUAUAGACUCCAGUGUCACUCUGACGGGUAACAACUUCAGAGUGUUCCACCAGUAAAUCACAACUUGGGUCUGAUUGGGUAAAUAAAAGCCACAUAUCAGAAUUUAUUAAUUUCCUAAAAUGCAACUUGGCUUGAUUGACAGAUUUAUACAGAUUUGAGGGUGUUAGACUAAUAAUGGCAAUUGGUGAGUUUAUGUGUAUUUCAAGUCUUUGCAACUUGAUGUCCAUGCUAUAAACAACAGUGGGGAACCAAUUGCUGCCUGGAACAGAAGAACUCAUCCAGGGUGUUACCUUCACGGGGAGACUACACACAAUAGUAAGUGUGAUCGAUUCAUGUACAGCAAAGGCAGUCGUACUUGACAGACACCUAUGCAUUUGCUAGUUAUUACUGACAGUUUGUUAAGCAAAAAUGUCUGUUAGGCUCAAAAUCAAACCUCAGUUAACAAAACUACAAAUUGAAUUUUUUUUUUUUAAACCUCUUGCGUGCGGCCAAAAAUUCCUCUAUUCAGGAAAAAGACCCUUGCAUUUAAACACUGGUUUGCUUUGGAAAAUUGUCAAAAGCAUCCAAGAACCUGUAGCGUCCUUUACAAAACUGUGGUCCUCAAUAGAACCAUUUACCUGCUUCCAUCCCAUCUCAGCAGGUCUUCUUUUACGACUCCCUUAUGCACAGUAUUGUCUUGUCCGGCUUACGUCAGGUUCUUUUUCAUCUCAGCUCGUAAUGAGAUUACCAACCACACUGUUUUGUCUUUGUCCUUUUUCUGGAAAAGCCUGUGCACUGUUACAUAAGUCAAGUCUCCUAUGGAUUCUUGCCCAAGUCUUUUAUUUUUCUUUAGAGAAGUCAAACUGACAUAACUUGCUAUUUUUUGGCAACAAGUAUGAGUCCUGUGAGUACUGACAUAGAACUGACAAGCGUACAGUAGGUAGCCUAUCAUUGUGUUCACGAUUCUUGUCAUAUGCAAAUCUAUUACACUAGUAGUGUGAAGUUACUUUAAAUAAAUGGGCAAGGAAUUUGGAUGUUAGGUCUAAAGUUUGUGAAAUCUUUGGCUGGUAAAAGGAUCACCGUGUUGUGUGAAGAUUUAACGUCAAAAAAAGAAGGUGAAAAUGAUCACUACUGCAUCCUCAUGAAUAUUCAUUUUGGCCCUGAGGUAUAACUGCCAUGUUAGUUGCAUCACCAAUGCCAACAAAAGUGCCUUCUGUUUGAUCACUAGGCCUUGAGCCAAAGACAAGCAACAGUAAUAGCCUUGUAAAAUGAAGAAUGGUAACUGCAACAGGCACUUCUGCUUGCCUUCCUUAACAUGUAAUCUGACAAAUUCGUAAAAAAAACCCAAAGAUUUGAUGUCCAGUAUCAGUGCAAAAAUCCAUUCAGAAAUUGCCAGAUAAAAUGCCCUAUCAAAUCAAUGGCCGUUCCUUUUUUCCCUUCCUAAACUCCACUAUUAAUCAUCAUCUUUCUCUUGUCUAGUUUCUUAGCUACACUCUGUGCAAAUGAUAAGAUUGUAAUGUUCUUUUUUUUCAUCAUUAAUUAUGUCGUUUAGCUGUAUAGACUGUUAACAUUCUGGGUUAUUUUAGUAAAAAAAAAAAGUUGAGGGGUUGGAGGGCUAGGAAUCCAUGUGUCAGCAUAAAAUGUUUAUUAAAUUUUUUUGUGGAGGAAAACUUACUGGGUUUGCUUCUGUAUUGCCAAAUAUGUUUUAAAAUGCUGUAUUUUCUUACAUGGAAAAGUGUUACACGAAUGGUAGGAGGGUGCGGAGAAAAUAAUCUGUUUAAAUCCAACUUACCUUAAGGGAAAACUGUGGAAAAGGUUGACAUGAGAACAUUUUUAAUUGUGUCAUUGUCAUGUGGAAAUGGUCUACCAUUAAAACAUUCCCUCUGAAAUCUUCUGUCAC
ensembl:lncRNA